rnacentral:rRNA from 1 species
UACGGAGGAUGCAAGUGUUAUCCGGAAUGAUUGGGCGUAAAGCGUCCGCAGGUGGCAAUGUAAGUCUGCUGUCAAAGCGUCUGGCUCAACCAGAUAAAGGCAGUGGAAACUACAUAGCUAGAGUAAGGUAGGGGUAGAGGGAAUUCCUGGUGUAGCGGUGAAAUGCGUAGAGAUCAGGAAGAACACCGGUGGCGAAAGCGCUCUGCUGGACCUUAACUGACACUGAGGGACGAAAGCUAGGGGAGCGAAUGGG